GCACAAGCGGUGGAGCAUGUGGUUUAAUUCUAAGCAACGCGAAGAACCUUACCAGGUCUUGACAUCCCGAUGCUAUUUCUAGAGAUAGAAAGUUACUUCGGUACAUCGGUGACAGGUGCUGCAUGGCUGUCGUCAGCUCGUGUUGUGAAAUGUUGGGUUAAGUCCCGCAACGAGCGCAACCCUUAUCCCUUUGUUGCCAGCGAGUAAUGUCGGGAACUCAAAGGAGACUGCCGGUGAUAAACCGGAGGAAGGUGGGGAUGACGUCAAGUCAUCAUGGCCCUUACGAGUAGGGCUACACACGUGCUACAAUGGCAUAUACAAAGAGAAGCGAACUCGCGAGAGCAAGCGGACCUCAUAAAGUAUGUCGUAGUCCGGAUUGGAGUCUGCAACUCGACUGCGUGAAGUUGGAAUCGCUAGUAAUCGUAGAUCAGCAUGCUACGGUGAAUACGUUCCCGGGCCUU
rnacentral:rRNA from 1 species